CGGGAAGUAGCUCAGCUUGGUAGAGCACCACGUUCGGGACGUGGGGGUCGCAGGUUCAAAUCCUGUUUUCCCGAC
rnacentral:tRNA from 1 species